ACAUAUGCAUGGAAUAGAUAAAAAAAAUCUUAGGUGAGAUUCAAAUGCCAGCAAAGUGUUAGUAGGAAUUAUGUUCCUUUUUUUCUUCUUCUUUUUUUUCUGUCCUUAUUUUUUUUUUGUG
rnacentral:ribozyme from 1 species